rnacentral:telomerase_RNA from 1 species
AUACUUAGGGUCGGUACUUGAGGCAACACACUCGACUCUGCUAUAAUUCUGUCUAGCAACAGUUAAGAGUCGAGUUAACCCAAUAACCCUAUUUAAUUCCUGAGUUUACUUCGUCAUUUGGGUUUUCCUUUCAAAAACCAGGAAAUGACCGAUGUGUUGGGUGUCGAGUCCGGCUUUUUUUUUU